rnacentral:rRNA from 1 species
GAUGAACGCUGGCGGCGUGCUUAACACAUGCAAGUCGAACGAUGAAGCCCAGCUUGCCGGGUGGAUUAGUGGCGAACGGGUGAGUAACACGUGAGUAACCUGCCCUUAACUCUGGGAUAAGCCUGGGAAACUGGGUCUAAUACCGGAUAGGAGCGUCCACCGCAUGGUGGGUGUUGGAAAGAUUUAUCGGUUUUGGAUGGACUCGCGGCCUAUCAGCUUGUUGGUGAGGUAAUGGCUCACCAAGGCGACGACGGGUAGCCGGCCUGAGAGGGUGACCGGCCACACUGGGACUGAGACACGGCCCAGACUCCUACGGGAGGCAGCAGUGGGGAAUAUUGCACAAUGGGCGCAAGCCUGAUGCAGCGACGCCGCGUGAGGGAUGACGGCCUUCGGGUUGUAACCCUCUUUCAGUAGGGAAGAAGCGAAAGUGACGGUACCUGCAGAAGAAGCACCGGCUAACUACGUG